rnacentral:lncRNA from 1 species
GCUUGGGAGCACGAGGAGGAAGAAUGUGAACGAGAAGAGGAAGGAAAGCGUGUCCCUGAGGGCUGCCCAAUUGGAGCUAAGAGCAGCAGAGAAUGAAACAUACUAACCUUCCAGUCUCCCAGCACUGCCCAAGAACAGAAGGGCCACAUGCAACUAGGGCAGAAUUGCAUACAGCUGUCUGAAAUCAGGUGCGAGGCCCAGGAUCCCCACCACUCCCUCCUACUGUGAAUAAGUAUCAGCGGCCCUUGGAAUCAACCUAGUCCAUCUUGGAGAUGACUUUUGCAAAACACGAAGCCAUUUUGAACGGAGACAGAUGGCAGUUAAAUGAAGUUUAAUUAAAGAAUGAGCGCUUUGAAGCAAACCGCUUUACAAAGUGCGGCACGCUCGGAUUCUUGAGCGCUUGCAUAAAUAGCAUCUGGAAGCUUCUGCAGGAAAGGUAUUCUGAGGGAUCUGGAAGAAGACCAACCAAAGGUCAGGUCCGUGGGGCUGACCUUUGAUGGGCCCGAGCUCCUAAAGCUCAGGAAGUAGGGUGAUGGAUGGGACAGGAGACCAGGACGGAGGGAUGCGGUGGUGCGGGGUGAGGAUGGGGGUAGGGGCUUAGUGGAGCAGGUAGGUGGGUGAAACCGAAGGGCACAGUUAGUCAAAUUCUUAGAUGAAGCCAGGCAUGGAGACACACCGGUAAUCCCAGCAUUUGAGAGGUCAAAGCAAGAAGAUCAAAAAAUUCAUGGGCGAGUGGUGGCGUACACCUUUGAUCCUAGCACUCGGAGUGCAGUACUUGGAAGGAAGAGGCCACCUGGUCUCUGGUCUACUUCCAGGACAGCCAGGGGUACACAGUGAAACCCUGUCUCAACACACAUGCCUCUCCCUCCUUCCCCCUCCUCCCCUUCCUCCUCCCCUCCCUCCCUCCUCUCUCUCUCUCUUUCUCUCUCUCUCACACACACACACACACACACACACACACACACACUCAAGGCCAUCUUUAGCAACAUGAGUUAGAGGCCAGACUGGGUCACCUACAACCCUAUCUCAACAAAAGGCUUUGCUUUGGAGGGAUAUCCCCCCCCCUUUUUUUAACGGGUUUUUGUUUUGAGACAGGGUCUCAUGUAACCCCACUGGUCUCCCACUCCUGCACACCCGAUCCUCUUGUCUUCUCCAGGAUUGGGAUUAUAUGUGCCCCACCCACCGAGCCCACUUGUAUUCAGUGCUCGGUGGAAUCUAGGGCUUGCUGCAUGCUAGGCAAAAGCACCUCACCACCU